ACCAGGGUGGCAUAAUGGUUUGUGUGUUGGACUAGGAUUCAAGAGACCAGGGUUUGAAUCCAUGCUCGGCCG